AGUGAACGCUGGCGGUAGGCCUAACACAUGCAAGUCGAACGGCAGCACAGUAAGAGCUUGCUCUUACGGGUGGCGAGUGGCGGACGGGUGAGGAAUACAUCGGAAUCUACUUUUUCGGGGGGGAUAACGUAGGGAAACUUACGCUAAUACCGCAUAUGACCUACGGGUGAAAGCAGUGGAUCUUCGGACCUUGCGCGAUUGAAUGAGCCGAUGUCGGAUUAGCUAGUUGGCGGGGUAAAGGCCCACCAAGGCGACGAUCCGUAGCUGGCCUGAGAGGAUGAUCAGCCACACUGGAGCUGAGACACGGUCCAGACUCCUACGGGAGGCAGCAGUGGGGAAUAUUGGACAAUGGGCGAAAGCCUGAUCCAGCCAUGCCGCGUGGGUGAAGAAGGCCUUCGGGUUGUAAAGCCCUUUUGUUGGGAAAGAACAGCAGCAGGUUAAUACCCCGCUGUUCUGACGGUACCCAAAGAAUAAGCACCGGCUAACUUCGUA
rnacentral:rRNA from 1 species